ensembl:lncRNA
GCUUUGGGGCGGCAGGUAGCCUAGUGGUUAGAGUGUAGGGGCGGCAGGUAGCCUAGUGGUUAGAGUGUAGGGGCGGCAGGGAGCCUAGUGGUUAGAGUGUAGGGGCGGCAGGUAGGCUAGUGGUUAGAGCAGGUAGCCUAGUGGUUAGAGCAGGUAGUCUAGUGGUUAGAGUGUAGAGGUGGCAGGUAGCCUAGUGGUUAGAGGGUAGAGGAGGCAGGUAGCCUAGUGGUUAGAGCAGGUAGCCUAGUGGUUAGAGUGUAGGGGCGGCAGGUAGCCUAGUGGUUAGAGUGUAGAGGAGGCAGGUAGCCUAGUGGUUAGAGUGUAGAGGAGGCAGGUAGCCUAGUGGUUAGAGUGUAGAGGAGGCAGGUAGCCUAGUGGUUAGAGGGUAGAGGAGGCAGGUAGCCUAGUGGUUAGAG